rnacentral:rRNA from 1 species
UAUAAGUAUGGAAAGAAAUUAUUGUAGAAUUUAAGCUAUAUAUUAAAGAGAUUUAUUUAUAUAAAUAGGUUUGCUAGCUGAUUGUGUAUAUACGCAGGCCAAUGCUUCUAAUUUCAUAGCAAGCUCGCUUGCUAUGAAAUAGGCAACCAGUAAUAUAAGCAAGUGUGUGCUAUUUAUAGCGCUAGCCUACAAACCUAUAAUUAUAUUAACUCUAAGAGAAAUUUAAUAAUAAACGAAGUGAAUUGAAAUAUCUUAGUAACUUUAGGAAAAGAAAUCAAAAGAGAUUCUAUGAUUAGCGUGAGCUAAAAUAGACUAGCCUAAAAAGUCAAAUGGUGGAUAAACUGUUUAAAUUAAAUGGGGAACCUUCCUCAAAGGCUAAAUAUAAUGUAUAAGCGAUAGUGGAAAGUACCGUGAGGGAACCAAAACAAAAACAGUGAUUUUAUAAGCAGUUCGGGAAAAUAAAAAAAAGUUAGAACGUACCUUUUGCAUAAUGGGUCACCAAGUUAACAUUAGAUGCGAGUAGGAGGCUUUGCCCAUACAUACGUAGUUAAACCGAGCGUUAAAAUAACGGUAAGUAUCUAAAGUUAGACCCGAAGCCUGGUGAUUUUACCAUAAUCAGGAUUAUAAAAGUCCGAACGGAAUAUUGUAGCAUAAAUAUCCGAAGAAUUAUGGUAGGUGUAGUGAAAGACAAUACUGACCAGGAUAGCUGGUUUUCUGCGAAACCUAUAACAGUAGGCAAUUUAAGUAUAAUAUCUUAGCAGGUACAGAAUUUAAUCUCAGACAAGACAUAAGGCUUAGCUUGCUAGCAAGUAAAGCUCAUGUUUUAUUUUGUACAAAUUGGGGGAUCAUGAAGAUUUUAUCAGUGAGUAUGUAGACUCGGAAUGGCAAAGAUAUAUCUUAAAUCAUCAGACAUAGAAUGAUAAGGUUGUAUGUCAAAAGGGAAACAGCCCAGAACAAGAGUUAAGGUUCCUAAAUUAUUAGUUGAGUGAAAUUAAGAAGGUUUUUAUUAAAGUCGACAAGGAGAUAGGCUUAGAAGCAGCCAUAAUUUUAUGACCUCGUAACAGAGCGCUUGUUAAGUUUUAAAAGCAUCGAAAAUUUAUCGGAUCUAAACAAUAUACCGAAACCUUGUCCAUAUUAUUUUAUAAUUAAAGCUUAAUUAUAAUUAAAUGGGGUAGCAGAACGUUGAGCUAAAUUAAGAUUUUUAUUUUUUAAAUGAAAUUAUAAUAAUUUAACUCAAGUGAUAAUGGUGACAUGAGUAACUAAAAGAAAAAAUAAAAUUUUUCCGCCUAAAGCUUAUGGAUGUAAUUAAGUAACGGCCUCUAAGUUUAUAUUAUCUAAAGAUUUAAACGAUGAGAUAAUCUUUUGUACUAAGGACGACAUUUUAAGUGAAAAAUGUACUGGAAAAAUAGUACUAAAUUAAUGGGUAUAGCUAAUUAGUUAGCUAUAGCUAUAAAUGAAAAGUAACCGUACCUAGAAUCUGAAACAAGUAAGCUAGUAGAGAAUACGAAGGCGUAAAUGAGCUAACAAUCAUAAAGGAACUCGGCAAAUUGACUACCGUAACUUCGGGAUAAGGAGAGCUCAUUAUUCUUGAUUAAUAUCAGGUAAAGAGGAAGAAGCAUGAAAUAGUGUUGUACGACUGUUUAAUUAAAACACAGCACUUUGCUGAAAGAUUAAAAAUCUAAGUAUAGAGUGUGAUGUCUGCCCGGUGCCGGCUGGUUAACAGAUAUAAUUAAAUAUACUAAUAUUUGAUGUAGACGGAAACCCCGGUUAAAGGCGGCCUUAACGUGAGGGUCCUAAGGUAGCGAAAUGCCUUGGCCGUUAAAUGCGGUCUUGCAUGAAUGAUGUAACGAUACAACAGCUGUCUCUAUGAUUGACUCAGUGAAAUUGGAAUAGCUGUGCAGAUACAGUUUACCUCUAGUUAGACGAGAAGACCCUAUGCAGCUUUACUGUCACUAAUUAUAGAGUAUGAUAAACAAUUUUCAGAUUAUAAGGUAAUUGACGGCUAGCUUGUUAAGCAAGCUAGCUCUAUGACAAUGAGAAUCCUUUAUUUUUUUUUCAUAUGAAUGAAUUGGUUUAGGAUUAUGAGUAGGUAGCGGCUUCUGCUACUUGGCGUAAGCAUUGCUUGCGUCAGGUGUCUGAAGUAUGCAUUCCAGCUCAUGCAUAGUAAAUCAACCUAAUUCAGCUUAUUUUCCUUUCUGCCAUAAGCGCAUAAUGAUAGAUUUAACUUAAAUUUUGAUUUAUGCCAGCUGCAGAAAUAGAUAAGUACCCUUGGCUAAGGAACUAUCGCUAGGGGACAGUUUAUGUGGGGCACAGACCCUGUAAAGAGUAAACAGGAGUGUCUAAUAAUUUAUAAUUAUUUUGUUUGCGAUUUAAGAUAGUGAAACUAUUUUUAAUCAUAUAAAAUUAUUUAUAUGUACAUUCGUUGUAUAUAUAUUUAAAAAAAGGUAGGAUUUUCACUAUAUAGAAAUUAGAGAUAAUAAAAAUAUUAAGAAUAUACGUUUCAGGUUGGGAGGGGGAAGCUCCUCCCUUUGAAAGGUAGCACUAAUAUUUUUUAGCUAUUAAGACAGGCUAUCAAGCUAGGCUCUAAUAGUUAUGUAAAUAAUAAUGAAGACAUAGUCUGAACCGUUUUGAAAAAAAUGGAAAUAUAAGUGCUUAUUCGCUAUUAAUAGGCAAGUUACAAAGGGAAGCAAUUAAGGCUUAUUUCUUAACUAGUUAAAGCACUAAAGCAGGUUUACUGCUAAAGAUUAAUAAAGUUAAAGCUCUUAUUUAUGUGCUAGAUAUAGCCAGCAACCUUCCUUAUAAUAAAUGCACUUUUAUGAUAACACAUAGAACAGGCUAAUUUGCGCAAGAGUGUACAAAAUGAGUGCGCGGUUUGGCACCUCGAUGUCGGCUUAACUUAUCCUCAUGGAUGCAGGAACUAUGUAGGGUGCGACUGUUCGUCGAUUAAAAAGUUACAUGAGCUGGGUUAAAUACGUCGUGAGACAGUAUGGUUUCUAUCUUCUAGGGGGAAUUAGAAUAUAAUAAGAACUAACUUUUGUACGAAAGGAACAAGAAGAAUUUAAUUUGUAAAAGGGUUAAAUAAUAGUUACUAACCUAUGGUUUACCUGUUGUCUAUGUGCCCAAAUAUUAAAAUAUAUAUGGAGGAAGCUCCUUAAGAGCUUCCCCCGCAAAUUAUAUAUAUCUGUAUAGCUAGCCUGCGGACUCCGGUUAUGCCUGAGUUUGGCAAGCUAAAGCUAUACAUAGGGAUGUUUCUUUCACUAAGAUAAAUAUAUAGCAUAGGCACGGCAGGAAAGCUAAGUUGGUUAAGGAUAAGUGCUGAAAGCAUAUAGGCACGAAGCUUAUCUUAAGAUAUUUCUUAAAUAUACGUAAAAUAUUAUUACGAAGGAUGUAAUAUAGGCUUUAUCCGUACGAAUCAGGAGAUUUUUAAGAAUAAAGUACUAAUUUUAUAA